GGACAGGAAACCUUGAAUACAAGACUGCAAAUGUCAUUUGAAAACUGUAGUUCUUGGAUUUAUAAAUCACUGUCACUGAACAGAUUCCUGAGAGCUGCGGAUAAAUGCUGUGGGAAGUGGAGCUCGCUGUACUGAGAGGAAUUGUGACAGCGAGCGAGAGGACGGAAUGGAAGCAGAAUGUAUUUCCUGCUGCAGAAAGCAGUCCUUUGCUGCAGUCUCUGCUGGAUGGUUUCGAAGGCAUUUUAUUGAAUCAAGUCACCCUGGACAUCUUGACAGCGGAGUGUGCAGCUAAGGAGAAAAUCGACAGCUAACUCGAGAAACAGAUCCUAGCGUACCUGCAUGCCUCAGCGGAGGAUGACAAGGCUGAGAGCAAGGAGAUGUGGUGUUUGUGCUUGGCGUGGCCAGUUUGCAGCUGUCUGCUCAGAGUAACUGGACUGGGCCUCCUGUUCAUAUCCAGCCCCAGGGAUUCCUCCCUGUCACUCUUCUCCAGCAGUUUGCAGAGCCUCAAGCAGCAACAGUCGCCAUCCUGAGCAGCCUGGUCCUUGAUGGAGAGUCAAUCUACAGCCAGGUUUUACUGCUGUUAGCCGGAGUGAUCCUUGUGACCUGCAGCUCUAAACUGGAGCACUUCCAGGUGGGGAACAGU